rnacentral:rRNA from 1 species
CACGUAGGGCGCGAGCGUUGUCCGGAAUUAUUGGGCGUAAAGAGCUCGUAGGCGGCCUGUUGCGUCCGCUGUGAAAGCCCCGGGGCUUAACCCCGGGUCGGCAGUGGAUAACGGGCAGGCUAGAGGUAGGUAGGGGAGAAUGGGAAUUCCCGGUGUAGCGGUGAAAUGCGCAGAUAUCGGGAGGAACACCGGUGGCGAAGGCGGUUCUCUGGGCCUUACCUGACGCUGAGGAGCGAAAGCGUUGGGGAGCGAACAGG